AUUGAACGCUGGCGGCAGGCCUAACACAUGCAAGUCGGGCGAGCGGCGGACGGGUGAGUAAUGUAUGGGGAUCUGCCUGAUGGCGGGGGAUCACUACUGGAAACGGUAGCUAAUACCGCAUACCCUCAGAUGUGCCUAGAUGGGAUUGGCUCGUAGGUGGGGUAAUGGCUCACCUAGGCGACGAUCCCUAGCUGGUCUGAGAGGAUGACCAGCCACCGUGGAACUGAGACACGGUCCAGACUCCGACGGGAGGGAGCAGUGGGGAAUAUUGCACAAGGGGCGCAAGCCUGCUGCAGCCAUGCAGCGUGUGUGAAGAAGGCCUUCGGUUUGUAAAGCACGUUCAGCGAGGAGGCGUUACUCGCAGAAGAAGCACCGGCUGACUCCGUGCCAGCAGCCGCGGUAAUAC
rnacentral:rRNA from 1 species